rnacentral:lncRNA from 1 species
UUGUAUUAACCAUAUAGAAGUCUAAUAUGCAAACAACUUUGAGGACAAUUUCCACACGUCUGGAAAAUGUGUUUUUCUUUCUUUCUUUCUUCUUUCCUUUUUAAAUUUAAAUCAAUUAUCACUCAACAAAGCAUCAAUAUGUUCUUGUUGAAAAAAAUUAACAUUACAAAUAAGGCCAGAGACCACUUAGAAUACCUUAAGCAAUUCUGUCCUUCUCUGCUCCUUCAUGAUGAUGACCACCAUUGUAACUUUUUGGUGCAUUCUUCCAGACUUUUCCUAUUUAUUUAGACAUGUACACACAUACACACUCAUGCACAAUGCAUAUAUACAGUGUACAAAAUAAAAUAAAUAUUCAUCUUUUGAGUAUAUUUUAUUAUAUCAAAUAUUUUAACUAACCUGAAUAUUUUAUUCAAAAAUACUAAUAUUUCUCAAGACAUAUAAAGAGCUAACUUAUUCUUUUUUGAGAGAACAAAAUACCUGCAGAAUAUUCCUUUGCAUAAAAUAUCGUAGUUUAUUUAGUCAGAAUACUUGAAAACCUAUUUUCUACUUUUCUUUUUGUGUGUGAAGCAAGAAUUAGAUAAUUUUCUUCAGGCUAACAGCCCAGUGUUUAUGUUCGCACAAUGGUGUUGCCUUUUUCCUUUGGGGAGCUAUUGAAUUGCUUUACAAUAUAUUUGCUAGGUUCUAAUCUUAGUAUUCUUCUCUCUUUAUUAGAUUGAUGGGCUUCGGUUUCAGAUGUAAUUCUGUCUCUUUCUUUCUCUGAUAAUCUGGCAUUAAUGCUAUGAGGCAUGCUUAGACCAAAUUUAGGAACAUAGAUUUCCUUGAUUCUAUGAAAUCUAGGGUUAGCAGAAGCUCCUCAAAUUAAAAUGUUUAGAAAUGCAUUUGGAGUUUCCAUAUACCAAGAAAUAGCAGAUAUAUGACACUCAUCUGGACGCUGUCUUUUGCUCAUUUGUGAAAGCAUUCCUUCAUUUAACUGAUAGUGUUGACUGAUUACAUUGUGCUAGAUGCCAUGAUAAUCAAUCGAGAUGUAGUCAUGCACAAACAAGAAUUUUAUGGCAUUUACCUGUCAGGUUGAAGGUUAUUGAAAAUCAACAAGUAAACAGAAACAACAGUGAACAGUAAUUUGAGAGAGUAAUGAUGCUUUGAAGAAAAUAAAAUAGAUAAAUUUGUUAGAAUGACUGUGAGGAAGGAAGGCAAAUGUUCAAAUAACUAUAACAAUAAUUGUGAUAAUGACAGUUUACUAUGCAAAGAAACUGUUCUAAGAGAAUUACAUUUAUUAAACCACUUAACACCCACAAAAGCUCAGUGAAGGAGAGAGGAUUUUUCCCUUCUUUAUUAGAGAAGGAAACAGAUGCCCAGAGAUAUUAAGUUGCUUUCUAAGAUCCCACAGCUUGUAAGAGGCAAAAAUGGGAUAGUAGGAAUGGUCUCUGGAGGAGGUGACAUUUGAGCUGAGACCAGAAUGCAGAAAAGAAGCCAUCCAUGGAAGUCCAAGGGAAUAACAAACUCAGAUUUCUUACAGUCAAUAUGCUUAACCUAUUUGUGGAACAGAACGGACAGUGUGAGAGGAUUUGGGAUUUUCUGUAUCAAAUACGUAUCUCAUUGAAGUGAUUUGAUGGCAUCACAUUUCUUUUGGCAUGAAGUUCUGAAGGAAAAUGUUCUAGUCUUUUCCAUGGUAGCUUGGAAUUUUUCCGGACCACAGGUAGGAGAGCAGGAUAGGUCUUGGGAGCAGUUGUGUUUUGAGGAGGCAGAUGUUAGACUAAAGCACCAGGAAAAUUAUUAGUAUCCAGGCUUCAGCAAAGCAUGACAUCCUCAAAGAAGAGCUAGAGAAGUUAAGCCAUCUUUAAGUGGUUGAAUUAUUAUAGCAAAAAGUAUGUUAGUCUUUAAUAUGCCUCCAGGCUCUAUCUAUACACAUGGCAUAGUCCAUGUUUAAUACUCUUUUAAUAAAGACAUGGAAAUGUGUUUAUUAAAAUUAUAGAUUAUAUAAAGCGAUUGUUAAGUGCAAACAGGAUGACAGGGAUGGAGUUAAUAUGAAUUUAAUAGUGACCUUUAAUUUUAAUAAAUUGUAUAUAAUAAAUUAUAAUUAAAGGUCAUGCCAAUGUGACCUUUAAUUAUAGGACAUACAAGGCACAGUCUAACAGUGAAAAACUGUGAAGUUGCAUACUAAGUUUAAAUAUAUACAUACAUAUGUAUCUGUGCUUUGCGUUAUUUAUAUGUAUGUGUUUGGGUAUGUGUAUCUCUAUGUGUGUAUACUUAUAAAUGUGCACUCAGAGCAUGGAUGGGUACUGACUUAUCAAAUUUUUUUUCAAGAUAAAUAUCAACUCUAAUGCACUGUUAGGAAGGUUAUAUGUCAGUCUCCUCACUCCUACUGGGUCUUCCAUAGUUUAUUUUGAGAAACUUUGGUUAACAAGGUACUGAAAAAGACCCUAGUGAAAAUGAAAGCUUUAGAAAUUGGGUCAUAUAAAGAUAAUGUAAUGAAAUAGAAAUUUAGCCUGAAAGAAGUUAAAGUCUAAGAACUCUCUCCCCAAAUAUAUGAUAACGUUGAGUGAAACAUGGUACAAGAGUUUAGGGGAAAGGGCAGUCCAGUUUUGAAAGCUAACUGUUAUUUUAUUUGGCCAGUAGUAUUGGCUAUAAAUUUUUCAAAUUUGAAGUAAUUGUCAAUGUGAUUGGAAGUUUUUAGAUUAAAAUCUAAUUUCCUGGUCUUUCUCAAAGAUUGAAAGAUUGAAUGACACUGAGCCACACUUUCCCACAAUAUUACUGGGAGCUGGGAGCUCUUUUAGAAGGUGAAUGCAUUUUCAACUCACCUCUACCCCCAUUCCUUAAUUUAACUCCAUGUUACUACCUUUUACCUAAACCAAGCCAUUUAUUUAAUUAUCUUCCCAAACUUUACUGUACAUAUGGCAGAAUCAGGGCCAAAGCUCAGCAGUUGUAAUGAGGCAUAUAUGAGCCUAGAAUACAGAAGAAUGCUAGAUUUGCACAGUAAUAGAGCCGGGUGCCUUGAGAAGUUGUGAGCUCCCUGACGCUGGAGCUCUUGGGUCUGAGAAGCCAAUUCUAAAGUAUGGCAGGAGAGCAUAGGUGUGGGGUGAGGUCAUGGGUUGGUGGUUUUCACACCAACAGGCAAUUCUCUGGCGCCACCUGGGUCUCUCACAAUUCAACUCAAUUCUGAAACUAUCUACCUGGAGAUAGCACCGGAGUCUCCAUAGGUAAAAUGUUCAGUCCUGUGAUACCACUCCCCUACCCCAACUUCAGAGGCCAUUCACAAGUCCAGGCUGUCACCUGUGCUUCUGAUCACAUGGCUAUAGAUUGGAGGUUCCAAGAGCACCCUCUUUGGAUUUAUUUCAGUUUAUGGAAGGUCUCACAGAAUUCAGAGAAACAUAUUACUUACCAUAUGACCAGUUUAUUGUACAAAGAUGCAACCCAGGAACACUCAGAUGGAAGAGAUGCAUGGGGGAAGGUAUAUGGGAAGAGGCCUAGGACCUCCACGCUUUCUUUGUGGUUGCCACUCUUGCAGAUUCUGCACAUGUCCACCAACCCACAAGCUCUCAGGACUCAUUUUUUGUGAGUUUUAUGGAAGCCUCAUUAAAUAGGCACAAUGGGUUAGGCACUGGCCAUUUGGGACUGAACUUAAACUUCCAGUCUAGUCUUUUCCUGGAAAUCAUGGGGUAUGACUGAAAAUUCCAACCCAACCAAUUAAACACAUGGUUGAGAGUUCCCACUGUGGCUCAAUGGGUUAAGAACCCAACAUAGUGUCCAUGAGGCUGCGGGUUUGAUCCCUGGCCUCACUCAGUGGGUUAAGGAUCCAGCAUUGUCACAAGCUACAGAGCAGGGCACGGAUGCAGCUUGGAUCCCGCAUCACUGUGGCUGUGUUGUAGGCCUGCAGCUGCCACUUCAAGUUGAUCCCUAGCCUGGGAACUUGUAUAUGCCACAGGUACAGCCAUAAAAAGAAAAAAAUAAAGAAAUAAAUAAUCCCAUGGCUGGUUCUCCUGGCAACCAGCGCCCAAACUUAGGGGCAUUCCAAAAGUGGUUUAUUAACAUAAUGAAAGACACAUUUAUCACUCUUAGCACUUAGAGAAUUCCAAGAAUUUUAAGAGCUAUGUGCCAGAAAUGAGGACAAUGACAAAAUAUGUUUCUUAUCAAUCACAAUAUCACAGAUAGUAGGCAAUGAAUAUCUGGGAUGGGUCUGUAGACAGGCCAAAUGAUUGAGGAAGCCCUUUCCUUUAUUGCAGUAUGAUAUGAAAAGUCAGAAGGAUAGGUGGUAGGAAAAGACAAAGAAUGAGGAAGAGAGAAAGAGCACAGGAGUCAGAGAAAGAAGUAGCACUAGAGCAUGAGGAGAAGAAAAAUAAUAACCAUGUAAGUAAGUGUUACCAAGAGUGUCCAAAAGAUGGUAGGAACAAACAAGAUUCUAAAUGAUAGCUACACGUUUCAGAAAGAAUCAUAAAUUUAUCUGCAACAAUUGCAAUUAAAUGAGGUGUAUCAUUAGGCAGCUGUCUUGAUGCACUAGGCAGCCAGUUGGAAAAGUAAAAGAGCAGAUUUCCUCCACCUUUAAAGAAUCACCACCAACUCUUAAAGGGUUGGUGUCUAAAGGGUUUCAAAUGGGUUUAGCUGAUGUAUUUUAUUAAAUUAACAAAACAAACAAAAAACUUUCAUCAAAUCUGUGUGGCUCAAGAUUGAUUAUUCUGAUCUAUUUUUAUUCAUUAUAAUUACUUAGCAGUUUUGUGCACUGCAUAUUCUCCUUAAUCAUAAAAGUCACGAAUCAAGCAGGCAAAUAGGUUUAACUUCUCUGUUUCUUUUCUUUAUUUCUUAGGUGAGUCCUUAGAGAACUUGGCUGUUCCUUUAUAAUCAAGCUUCACCAAACUGUUUAUGUGUGAUGCUUAGAAGAAAAGAGGAAUAGCUCUAUUAGAGGCUGAGAGAUUAUGAAAGUCUAUGUAAACUCAUAGAAGAAUGGGAGGAAAAGGAAAGAGCCCAUUCCCCAAAAGAUCAGUUCAUUUCUCUCCUGUGUCUUCCUGCUGCAUAUAUAUUGUUGAAAGCUCUUGAGUUGAAAAGCCAUGGCAAGUGACCUUGUUGACUGCCUCUCCUUCUCAUCUCUUUAAGAUAAUCGUGGAAUAGGGAGAGAAAGACAUUGAAUGCUGUAUUUUCUGACACUUUCCCAAAUUAUAGUUAAGAUUUUUCUUUUAUAUUCCCAUCACAUCCCUCUGUAUAAAGCAUUAUCAGAGGAUUUGUUAAAAGAUAUAAAUUCCUGGGUCCCUCCUUAGUUCUACAAAAGCAGAGUAUCAGGGGAGUGUAGCCUGAUAAGGUUGAUUUUAAAAUAUAGUGGACAAUUCUAAUGUAUGUGACAAUUACCAAUAUAGAGCAACCUUUUGUUUAGACAAUGUUCCAAGCUUCUGCUAAAGGGAUUGAAGCAAUCAGAAGUAGCAACAUGGAGUGAAGUUAAAGGACUCUUAUUUUUUUGUUGGUUGUAGCUCCUGAGAGCUCUGGAGAGAAUUCUCAGUCUUUGGUAUCCUUCGUAAAUAAAUUGAUGCAGUGUAGUGGGCACUGGAGAGAGGAGGGUAUAAGUUGUUCUAACCUUAAGGAUACCUUAGUAUAUUCAUGCUUUGCUUGAUUGCCAAUUAUAUCUACACUUGUUGGGAAAACUUGCACUAAAGCCACCCAAAGGGUGACCUGGGAAAAGCUUACAGCAUCUCUAGUCCUGCCAUUCAGGAACGAAGAGAAAUGUAGGUUUUUCUGGGCAGGGAAUUGAAUACCAUUCAGUAGCAGUGAAAAUAAGAAAGAAUUAUGACACAGGUAGUAAAGCAUGAUGGAUGGUUUGGGGAAGGCUAGUUGGCAUUUUUAUUUACCCUUCCCCAUAACGGAACAACAAGAGGGCACUCAUUCAAUUGGGGAAAUCAAAAAGCAGCACAUUUAAAACAAAUGAAAGGAAACUUCACAGCCAAUAAUGAACUCCAGACACUGUGGCUACAGAUUGCCAAGGAAGAUUACCAAAGCAAUUAAACAUUUGUUGUGCAAAUAAUGAUAGAGUUUUACAACCUAAAUAGGUAGAAAAAUAAAUCCUGCACUUUUAGCUAAAGUUGGCUUCUUUUUCUUUCCACUUGAGAAAAAAAGCUUAUCUUCAAC